rfam:Puccinia graminis f. sp. tritici CRL 75-36-700-3 supercont2.84 genomic scaffold, whole genome shotgun sequence.
GUGGGCGUCUUCUAAUGGUUAGGAAAUCUCGUUGUGGUCAUCUCCCUUCUGAAGGGGCAAUCCCGUGAAAAUGUCGGUUCGAUUCCGGCCGCCCACA